UGCAAGUCGAGCGGACAGAUGGGAGCUUGCUCCCUGAUGUUAGCGGCGGACGGGUGAGUAACACGUGGGUAACCUGCCUGUAAGACUGGGAUAACUCCGGGAAACCGGGGCUAAUACCGGAUGGUUGUUUGAACCGCAUGGUUCAAACAUAAAAGGUGGCUUCGGCUACCACUUACAGAUGGACCCGCGGCGCAUUAGCUAGUUGGUGAGGUAACGGCUCACCAAGGCAACGAUGCGUAGCCGACCUGAGAGGGUGAUCGGCCACACUGGGACUGAGACACGGCCCAGACUCCUACGGGAGGCAGCAGUAGGGAAUCUUCCGCAAUGGACGAAAGUCUGACGGAGCAACGCCGCGUGAGUGAUGAAGGUUUUCGGAUCGUAAAGCUCUGUUGUUAGGGAAGAACAAGUACCGUUCGAAUAGGGCGGUACCUUGACGGUACCUAACCAGAAAGCCACGGCUAACUACGUGCCAGCAGCCGCGGUAAUACGUAGGUGGCAAGCGUUGUCCGGAAUUAUUGGGCGUAAAGGGCUCGCAGGCGGUUUCUUAAGUCUGAUGUGAAAGCCCCCGGCUCAACCGGGGAGGGUCAUUGGAAACUGGGGAACUUGAGUGCAGAAGAGGAGAGUGGAAUUCCACGUGUAGCGGUGAAAUGCGUAGAGAUGUGGAGGAACACCAGUGGCGAAGGCGACUCUCUGGUCUGUAACUGACGCUGAGGAGCGAAAGCGUGGGGAGCGAACAGGAUUAGAUACCCUGGUAGUCCACGCCGUAAACGAUGAGUGCUAAGUGUUAGGGGGUUUCCGCCCCUUAGUGCUGCAGCUAACGCAUUAAGCACUCCGCCUGGGGAGUACGGUCGCAAGACUGAAACUCAAAGGAAUUGACGGGGGCCCGCACAAGCGGUGGAGCAUGUGGUUUAUUUCGAACAACGCGAAGAACCUUACCAGGUCUUGACAUCCUCUGACAAUCCAAGAUA
rnacentral:rRNA from 1 species